UGAGCAACCUGCCCCUUCACAUCGGAAUAACCAUUGGAAACGAUGGCUAAUACCGAAUAUGACUUCGGAUCGCAUGAUCUGAAGUAGAAAGCUCCGGCGGUGAAGGAUGAGCUCGCGGCCUAUCAGCUAGUUGGUGUGGGUAAUGGCCCACCAAGGCAACGACGGGUAGCCGGCCUGAGAGGGCGAUCGGCCACACUGGAACUGAGACACGGUCCAGAUCCUAACGGG
rnacentral:rRNA from 1 species